UCUAUCCUCCGCGGGGGACAACCACUGGAAACGGUGGCUAAUACCGCAUACGACCUGACUUUCUUCGGAUCGUUAGGAGAAAGGCUUCGGCCACCGGAGGCUGAGCCCGCGUCCCAUCAGCUUGUUGGUGAGGUAAAAGCUCACCAAGGCUAAGACGGGUAGCUGGCCUGAGAGGAUGAUCAGCCACACUGGGACUGAGACACGGCCCAG
rnacentral:rRNA from 1 species